rnacentral:rRNA from 1 species
AUUGAACGCUGGCGGCAGGCUUAACACAUGCAAGUCGAGCGGGGUGAUGGUGCUUGCACUAUCACUUAGCGGCGGACGGGUGAGUAAUGCUUAGGAAUCUGCCUAUUAGUGGGGGACAACAGCUCGAAAGGGAUGCUAAUACCGCAUACGUCCUACGGGAGAAAGCAGGGGAUCACUUGUGACCUUGCGCUAAUAGAUGAGCCUAAGUCGGAUUAGCUAGUUGGUGGGGUAAAGGCCUACCGAGGCGACGAUCUGGAGCGGGUCUGAGAGGAUGAGCCGCCACACUGGGACGGAGACACGGCCCAGACUCCUACGGGAGGCAGCAGUGGGGAAUAUUGGACAAUGGGGGGAACCCUGAUCCAGCCAUGCCGCGUGUGUGAAGAAGGCCUUAUGGUUGCAAAGCACUUUAAGCGAGGAGGAGGCUCUUUUGGUUAAUACCCAAGAUGAGUGGACGUUACUCGCAGAAUAAGCACCGGCUAACUCUGUGCCAGCCGCCGCCGUAA